rnacentral:rRNA from 1 species
GACGAACGCUGGCGGCGUGCUUAACACAUGCAAGUCGAACGGAAAGGCCCUUCGGGGUACUCGAGUGGCGAACGGGUGAGUAACACGUGGGUGAUCUGCCCUGCACUUUGGGAUAAGCCUGGGAAACUGGGUCUAAUACCGAAUAGGACCACGCGCUUCAUGGUGUGUGGUGGAAAGCUUUUGCGGUGUGGGAUGGGCCCGCGGCCUAUCAGCUUGUUGGUGGGGUAAUGGCCUACCAAGGCGACGACGGGUAGCCGGCCUCAGAGGGUGACCGGCCACACUGGGACUGAGAUACGGCCCAGACUCCUACGGGAGGCAGCAGUGGGGAAUAUUGCACAAUGGGCGCAAGCCUGAUGCAGCGACGCCGCGUGAGGGAUGACGGCCUUCGGGUUGUAAACCUCUUUCAAUAGGGACGAAGCGCAAGUGACGGUACCUAUAGAAGAAGCACCGGCCAACUACGUG